UACGUAGGGCGCAAGCGUUGUCCGGAAUUAUUGGGCGUAAAGAGCUCGUAGGCGGCCUGUUGCGUCCGCUGUGAAAUCCCGGGGCUCAACCCCGGGCCUGCAGUGGAUACGGGCUGGCUAGAGGCAGGCAGGGGAGAACGGAAUUCCGGGUGUAGCGGUGGAAUGCGUAGAGAUCCGGAAGAACACCGGUGGCGAAGGCGGUCUGCUGGGCAGUUGCUGACGCUGAUGCGCGACAGCGUGGGGAGCAAACAGG
rnacentral:rRNA from 1 species